UCCCCUCCCACAUCUGUUCUUCUUGCUAAAAAUGGAUUUUCCUGUUCGGUUGAUUGUGUAGGCAGUAGCUUGGGUGUGCACCUAUGCAAUAGAUGGAAAUCCCUUUCAGUAGGUAUAAUGUGAUGUGCGCAUAGGCAGGUCCAUACUUGCAUAUUUUCCACGAAACAUCUUAGAUCAUAAGAUAUGGAUUUGUGCUUGUAUCGGUUUUCUUUAAUUUGAUCAAACAGAUAUUGCUUUGUCUCAUGGAAAAGUACGGGGUGGCAUCAAAUCUUCUUCAGUUACAAGGCUGACAUGUAUAUAUGGAUGGAUUUAGAGCAGUGCUCUGUUUUUCUAUUUUAUGUUUCCCUUCAUGUUGUAGUCUUGUCCAAUCAGCUUUGACGGCAUUUUCUACACCUCCUUGUAUGUUGCACAGGUCAUCAUUUUUCUGGGUUCAGUGCAUUUUGAUUUGUAGGUUUUAGUUUUUACAUCUGUUUAGUUGGUGUUCAUCCCAAUAUACUUGAGCAUAUGGUCAAUUGAUUAUUAAAUUUUUAGGUUGGAAUAUGUUUUCUUAUUCUAGAACAAUUUGCCACUCAUGUAUCUUGUAAUUUACUUUCUUACAUCAGUGAAGUAUUUGAGGUAUAAUCUUGCCGCACCAUUCUUCCCUUGAAUUAUCUUUUGAGAAAGAGAUGUUAUCUUUGAAAACAAGACGUACCUACCCCUUUUCAUCAGUAUUGUGCAACUUGUUGGAUCUAUAGGUGUACCUUUCCUAUUAUUGAAAGUCUUCUUCCUACAGUAUAUAAGUGCACUUUCUAGUUGAAUGGCGAGAGGUACUUCAUGUGUUUGAAAUUUUAGGAUUUCAAAAAAUCCAUCUCUAUUUUGACAUAAUCAUUUAUGGCUCACACCAACUCUUUUGGAUGCAAGAGGAACAUGAUUGAAAAUAUAAAAAUAAUCUAAUGUAUGAAUCAAGACAUGUACUGCAGGUCAAUCAAGUGGCAUUUGUUGUUUUAGUUGUCACUGGCAUUUGAAUAUGUGUUUCUAACGACCUUGUUUGCCUCUUAGUUUUUGUAUUACCCACUUAUGUAACUACUACUUGUUUUAUCCACCGGUUUUACAUAUUUGGAGUUCAGAUUGGUUAGUGCCAGCUAUAGCCUAUAAUUUGAGGAAAUAUUGACCUUGUUAUCUGUCUACUAGCCAUGCCUCCUGUAGACUGUAGCAAAGAUUGGUUACUAGCCAUGCUUCCUGUAGAUUUAGGAUCUGCUGCUGUGCAUUUGAUCUUAUAGAAAAUAUUUAAGAUCUUGUUAAGUAGUUAUCUCUCAAUGGAAUUUUCGGUACUGAUCUUGACAUUCAGGUGUACGGCCAGAUCCUUACUUAUUUGUUGUUUUGUUUCAUGUGAGCAUAAUUGCAGCUCUAGCUGUUCACUUUGCAGCAACUUCUAAUAUCCAAAUGAGGAAUAAUAGCUGAAACUUUUGAACACACUAGUUGAUUCCCUCUGUUAUAAAUAAAUCAUCAAACUUUGUUAUGCUAAUAUUGGCAUUCUCUGGCUAUGUUUUCUUUAACAUGAUAAAUGAAUGACCGAACUAAAAUUAUGUUGGUUGUUGAUCCAUGUAUUCUCAGUUUCUUUGUAUAUAUUGCGCCUAGCUCUGUUGGGGUAUGGAAUACAAAGUUCAACUACUAUUUAGCAUACCAAACUCUGAACCGUCUAUGAAAUGCACAAGAAAUCAUUAAACUGAAUAUUUGUAUUGACUCUACUGCAUUCUUUUUUGGGCAUGGGCAAAAUGGACGGGUCGGUCUAAUCGGUGGAGAUAAUGUGCAAGUUCUCAGAGCAGCACGCCCGCUGGUCCCGUACCUCCUCCGCCGCCAACGUUGUUGCUGUCAAGGUCCUGUUUCUCCCAGAGCUGAUGUUGCCGACGGCCACGUUCUCGGGCUCAUGCUGACGGUGACGGCCACCUCCCCAGCAAGCUGCUCCUGUCCAUCUGCAUGGGAUGCAUCAAGGUGGCCAGGUGGCUGGCAAUUUUGAGUAUGGUCCAGUGGGUAGCAUCGAUGCGGAGCAGCGGAAGUCCUCCUUUGUCCGUGUGUAGCAGCAGGAUGGUAGCAAGGUGCUCAGGUCGCAGCCUUCAUCCAAGAAGAAACAGAAAAAGUUAUAUCCCUCUCUCCGUCUUGCUUAAAUUCAUUCUUCUCUCUUUCCGUAAGCACAAUUUGAGUGGAACACACACACCAAUUGAAAAUCAGAUUGAUUGUUGUGUUUGGUUGCCGGCAAGUAGGACAUCCGGUGGGAUGGCGUUCUGAAGAUGUUGACGGGCAGAUGUUGGCUCCUCAUUCUGAAUUCUUUUCUCGAAAAGAACAAACAAACUUCUUUUUAAUUUAUAAUUCUGAAUGUUGAAUGCUGAUUGAGGGUGUGCUGCAACUCGAUACUGGAUAGUUUACCCUAGUUUGGUAUGUAUAAUGGUGCUUUUAACUAUGUUUUGCUGUAACCUGGAGUUAGUCUUGUAUUUCUUAAUUUGCCUGGUAAGGAUAUAUAGCAGUAGCAUUAACAACAAUCCAAUUUCUGCAUGUCAUGUCUAUGUUAAUUACUACUGUGUUGUAGCAAGUCAAAGCGGCCUAGUUAUAUUCUGUUGUAUGCCUGCACAUCUAUUAGUUGUUAUUGCUACAAGCUUCUGAAGUACUAUUUGUAAAUCAAGAAGAAAUAUUGAGGAUCAGCUCGUAGUCGACCUUUAUAUUGUUACUUUGGUUGCAUACAUAAAUGGCCCAGCCUUAACAUCAAACCUUAGUACAUGAAUGGCAUGCAUACUGAUGGGAAGGUGAUUGCCGGACAACUUGCUUGAUUAAUUAUGCAUGCUCUAUUUUUUAUCUUAUAUUUUGCCUCACAUAUUGUUCUACAUUUCUUCCUUGAUAAAUAUUUAGAACAUUGAUAAGUUGUUAUCUCUCAACGGAAUUUUUGCUACUGGUUGGACUGCCUGUAUCGAUUAUUUUGUUAAAAAGAUUACAUCUUGACAUUUAGGUGGACACUUAGAUCCUUAUUUAUUUUUUUAUUUUGUUUCAUGGGAGCACAAUUGCAGCUCUAGUUGUUCAUGUUCUAUGCACACGUGCAGGACCUCCUAAUAUCCCAGUGAGGAAUAAUAGCUGAAACUUUUUUUUAUGCUUCUUAUUCUAAUUUUUUAAGCUUCUGAAACUUUUGAACACACUAGUUGGUUCAUUCUGCUAUAAAUAAAUCAUGAAACAUUAGUAUGCUAACAUUUGUAACAUUCUCUGGCUAUGUCUUCUUUAACAUACUAAAUGAUUGACCGGACUAAAAUUAUGUUGGUUGCUGAUCCAUGUAUUCCUGGUCUCUUUGUAUAUAUUGCGGCUAACAAUGUUGUGCUACGGAGUACAAAGUUCAACUAUUAUUUAUUAGAACAAACUCUGAACCGUCUAUGAAAUGCACAAGAAAUCUUGCGAAAAAUGUUUCCUUUUGCAUAGGCAGUAGAGAAAGUGUGCACGUAUUGGUAGAUGAAAAUUCAUUUCACUAAAGCAAAGCCUCUUGUUUGGAUAUGCAGGUCCAUGUUUGCUGCACAAUCUGCAUGGCAUGCAUCAAGGCGGCCAGGUGGCCGUCAAUUUCUAGCAGGGUCCAGAGGGUAACAUGGAUGCGGAGCAGCAGGCGUCCUCCUUUAUCCGUGUGUACCAGCUUGCCAGUAGCGAGGUACUCAGGUCACAGCCUUAAUCCUAGAAGAAACGGGAAAAGGUGAGGUAUAUAGCAAGAGCAUUAACAACAUAUCCAGUUUCUGCACAUCAUAUCUAUGUAAUUACUAUGCUGUAGCGACCUUGUUAUAUUCUACCGUAUGCCUGCACAUCGAUUUAGCUUCUAUUUCUACAAGCUUUUGAGAGUGAACCAACAUAUUGUAGCGAGAUGCUCAGGUUGCAGCCUUCAUACAAGAAGAAACAGAAAAAGUUAUAUCCCUCUCUCUGUCUUGCUUAAAUUCAUUAUUCUCUCUUUUCGUAAGCACAACUUGAGUGAAACACACUCUCACACACACACACCAAUUCAAAAUCAGACUGAUUGUUGUGUUUGGUUGCCGGCAAGUAGGACGUCCGGUCGGAUAGCGUUCUGAAGAUGUUGACCGGCUGCCGCAGGCUCCUCAUUCUGAAUUCUUUUCUCGAAAAGAACAAACAAACUUCUUUUUAAUUUAUAAUUCUGAAUGUUAAAUGCUGAUUGAGGGUGUGCUGCAACUCGAGACUGGAUAGCUUACCAUAGUUUGGUAUGUAGAAUGGUGCUUUUAACUUCGUUUUGCUGUAACCUGGAGUUAGUCUUGUAUUUCUUGAUUUGCCUGGUAUGGGUAUAUAGCAGAAGCAUUAACAAGAAUUCAGUUUCUGCAUGUCAUGUCUUUGUUAAUUACUAGUAUGUUGUAGCAAGUCAAAAGCGGCCUUGUUAUAUUCUUCUGUAUGCCUGCACAUCGAUCUAGUUGUUAUUGCUACAAGCUUUUGAGGUACUAUUUGUAAUUCAAGAAGAACUGCUGGGGAUCAGCUCGUAGUCAACCUUUAUAUUCUUACUUUGGUCGCAUACAUAAAUGGCUCAGUCCUAACAUCAAACCGUGGUACAUGAAUGGCAUACUGAUGGGAAGGUGUGGCAGGACAAGUUGCUUGAUUAAUUAUGCAUGCUCUGUUUUUUUUUCUACCCUAUAUUUUGCCUCACACAUUGUUCUACAUUUUUAUUUUAGUUUACUGAAAUUAUGCAGGGAGCCACAAUUGUCUAGCGAGGCUUGGUGGUGCGCCGCAGGGGUCGUGCGAUGUCCGUGGGGAGCAGCUUGGUCACUGUCAUCAUCUGAGAAGAGCUCAAAGAAGCUGAAGAACAUGUUGCAAACACUGAGCCAAUUAAAAGUCAUCAUCGAUGGGAUGCAGACAGUGGCAAAGUCCCAGAAAGACACAUAUUGAGUCAAAACGGUUCUGAUGAUUGUAAGGAUAUUUUUCUGACUACAUGAAGCCGUUCUUUUGGCAGCUCUGAUUCAACAGAAAGUGGAGAUUCUCCAAACGAGCGGAUUGGGAAUGUCUACCUGUUGGCAACAUAGAGCGGCUGGAGCUGGGAGAAGGGAGCAAUGCCGCCAGCUGGGAGAAGGGAUCGUCUGUAAUUUGGGGUGAUGGAUGGCCGAGCUUUGUCCAACCAACCAGUGCUAGUUGGUCAUGACGCUGGAGUGGUACGCGGGUAAGAGAUUAGCAUGAUGCUCGGUCAUGAAGGGGAGAACAGGAGGAAGGAGUGAGCUAUGGCCGCCUGAUCCAACAUGCUUUGUUUGUUCAAUGCUUUCACUGAUGUUGAAGUAUGUGGGUUGGUUAGGUACUAGUGAUUUGAAGGUGAAAUGCUGCAAUGGGUCGCCAUUUGUUUGGCCUAGAAUCAGUGUUGUUUUUAUUUGUUUCACAGUUUGUUAGCUCUGUUUUGCCGGUGAUGUGUAGCUGCAUGCUGCACGUUUUUGUUGCCAUUUGUUACUUGAGAAUCUGGGCUGUCUACAUA